rnacentral:rRNA from 1 species
UCUACGGGUGGCUGCAGUGAGGAAUAUUGGUCAAUGGACGCAAGUCUGAACCAGCCAUGCCGCGUGCAGGAAGAAGGUGCUAUGCAUUGUAAACUGCUUUUAUACGGGGGUAAUUACAGAUACGUGUAUCUGGAUGAAAGUACCGUAUGAAUAAGGAUCGGCUAACUCCGUGCCAGCAGGCGCGGUAAUACGGAGGAUCCGAGCGUUAUCCGGAUUUAUUGGGUUUAAAGGGUGCGUAGGCUGUGAGGUAAGUCAGCGGUGAAAUGCCCCCGCUCAACGGGGUGAAGUGCCAUUGAUACUGCCUUGCUGGAAUGCGGAUGCCGUGGGAGGAAUGUGUGGUGUAGCGGUGAAAUGCAUAGAUAUCACACAGAACACCGAUUGCGAAGGCAUCUCACGAAUCCGCGAUUGACGCUGAUGCACGAAAGCGUGGGUAUCAAACAGGAUUAGAUACCCCUGUAGUC